rnacentral:rRNA from 1 species
AACCGAAUAGGGGAGCCGAAGGGAAACCGAGUCUUAACCGGGCGUUAAGUUGCAGGGUAUAGACCCGAAACCCGGUGAUCUAGCCAUGGGCAGGUUGAAGGUUGGGUAACACUAACUGGAGGACCGAACCGACUAAUGUUGAAAAAUUAGCGGAUGACUUGUGGCUGGGGGUGAAAGGCCAAUCAAACCGGGAGAUAGCUGGUUCUCCCCGAAAGCUAUUUAGGUAGCGCCUCGUGAAUUCAUCUCCGGGGGUAGAGCACUGUUUCGGCAAGGGGGUCAUCCCGACUUACCAACCCGAUGCAAACUGCGAAUACCGGAGAAUGUUAUCACGGGAGACACACGGCGGGUGCUAACGUCCGUCGUGAAGAGGGAAACAACCCAGACCGCCAGCUAAGGUCCCAAAGUCAUGGUUAAGUGGGAAACGAUGUGGGAAGGCCCAGACAGCCAGGAUGUUGGCUUAGAAGCAGCCAUCAUUUAAAGAAAGCGUAAUAGCUCACUGGUCGAGUCGGCCUGCGCGGAAGAUGUAACGGGGCUAAACCAUGCACCGAAGCUGCGGCAGCGACACUGUGUGUUGUUGGGUAGGGGAGCGU